AACUGGUUGAUUCUGCCAGUAGUGAUAUGCUUGUAUCAAAGAUUAAGCCAUGCACGUGUAAGUACAAGCGAUUCCAGAAAGCGAAACUGCAAAUGGCUCAUUAAAUCAGUUACGGUCCCCUUGGCGGCUGAUAUUACUUGGAUAACUGUGGUAAUCCUAGAGCUAAUACAUGCACUGGAGCUCCGAUCCCGCGAGGGAGACGAGCGCUUUUAUUAGACCAAGACCAGCCCGCGUUCGCGCGGCAGCGACUGGUGACUGUGUAUAACCUAGGGCGGAUCGCACGGGCUCGUCCCGGCAACGCGUCUUUCGAGUGUCUGCCUUAUCAACUGUCGUUAGUAGGUCAUGCGCCAACCAUGGUCGUCACGGGUGACGGGGAAUCAGGGUUCAAUUCCGGAGAGGGAGUCUGAGAAACGGCUACCACAUCCAAGAAAGGCAGCAGGCACGCAAAUUAUCCACUCCCGGCCCGGGGAGGUAGUGACGAAAAAUAACGAUAAGGGACUCUUUCGAGACCUCGUAAUCGGAAUGAUCGCAAGGUAAAAAGUGUUCGAAAGGAACGAUUGGAGGGCAAGUCUGGUGUCAGCAGCUGCAGUAACUCCAGCUCCGAUAGCAUAAGUUAAAUUUGUUGCGGAUGAAAAGCUCGUAGUCUGAUCUAAGACCGAGACGGUGG